AACGAACGCUGGCGGCAGGCCUAACACAUGCAAGUCGAGCGCCCUUUCGGGGGAGCGGCGGACGGGUGAGUAACGCGUGGGAAUAUGCCCUUCUCUACGGAAUAGCCUCGGGAAACUGAGAGUAAUACCGUAUACGCCCUGUGGGGGAAAGAUUUAUCGGGGAAGGAUUAGCCCGCGUUGGAUUAGGUAGUUGGUAGGGUAAUGGCCUACCAAGCCGACGAUCCAUAGCUGGUUUGAGAGGAUGAUCAGCCACACUGGGACUGAGACACGGCCCAGACUCCUACGGGAGGCAGCAGUGGGGAAUCUUAGACAAUGGGGGCAACCCUGAUCGAGCCAUGCCGCGUGAGUGAUGAAGGCCUUAGGGUUGUAAAGCUCUUUCAGCUGGGAAGAUAAUGACGGUACCAGCAGAAGAAGCCCCGGCUAACUCCGUG
rnacentral:rRNA from 1 species